CCUACGGGUGGCAGCAGUGGGGAAUAUUGCGCAAUGGGCGAAAGCCUGACGCAGCGACGCCGCGUGAGGGAUGAAGGUUCUCGGAUCGUAAACCUCUGUCAGAAGGGAAGCAAUUAUAUCAUGCUAAUCAUUGGUGUAUUGACGGUUCCUUCAAAGGAAGCACCGGCCAACUCCGUGCCAGCCGCUGCAGUAAGACGGAGGGUGCGGGCGGUACUCGGCAUUACUUGUCGUAAAGCGGACGUAGGCUGUAUGACAAGUCAAGGGUGAAAUGCCACGGCUCAACCGUGGAACUGCCUUUGAAACUGUCAAACUGGAGUAUGUGAGAGGGCGGCGGAAUUCCUGGUGUAGGAGUGAAAUCCGUAGAUAUCAGGAGGAACAUCAGUGGCGAAGGCGGCCGCCUGGCACAAAACUGACGCUGAGGUGCGAAAGCGUGGGUAGCAAACAGGAUUAGAUACCCCAGUAGUC
rnacentral:rRNA from 1 species